AGUGAACGCUGGCGGUAGGCCUAACACAUGCAAGUCGAACGGCAGCACAGUAAGAGCUUGCUCUUACGGGUGGCGAGUGGCGGACGGGUGAGGAAUACAUCGGAAUCUACUUUUUCGUGGGGGAUAACGUAGGGAAACUUACGCUAAUACCGCAUACGACCUACGGGUGAAAGCAGGGGAUCUUCGGACCUUGCGCGAUUGAAUGAGCCGAUGUCGGAUUAGCUAGUUGGCGGGGUAAAGGCCCACCGAGGCGACGAUCCGUAGCUGGUCUGAGAGGAUGAUCAGCCACACUGGAACUGAGACACGGUCCAGACUCCUACGGGAGGCAGCAGUGGGGAAUAUUGGACAAUGGGCGCAAGCCUGAUCCAGCCACACCGCGUGGGUGAAGAAGGCCUUCGGGUUGUAAAGCCCUUUUGUUGGGAAAGAAAAGCAGCAGGUUAAUACCCCGCUGUUCUGACGGUACCCAAAGAAUAAGCACCGGCUAACUUCGUG
rnacentral:rRNA from 1 species